GAAAAGAAUGGACUCUCCGGGG
rnacentral:miRNA from 1 species